UGGCUCAGGAUGAACGCUAGCGGCAGGCCUAAUACAUGCAAGUCGAACGGUGUAGCAAUACAUAGUGGCGCACGGGUGCGUAACACGUAUGCAACCUACCUUAUACUUAGGGAUAGCCUUUGGAAACGGAGAUUAAUACCUGAUGGUAUAUUUAGCUGGCAUCGGUUAAAUAUUAAAGAUUUAUUGGUAUAAGAUGGGCAUGCGUCCAAUUAGUUAGUUGGUGGGGUAAUGGCUCACCAAGACGAUGAUUGGUAGGGGAACUGAGAGGUUAAUCCCCCACACUGGCACUGAGAUACGGGCCAGACUCCUACGGGAGGCAGCAGUAGGGAAUAUUGGGCAAUGGAGGCAACUCUGACCCAGCCAUGCCGCGUGCAGGAUGAAGGCGUUAUGCGUUGUAAACUGCUUUUAUAUAGGAAGAAAAAGACCUUGCGAGGUAGAUUGACGGUACUAUAUGAAUAAGCACCGGCUAACUCCGUGCCAGCAGCCGCGGUAAUACGGAGGGUGCAAGCGUUGUCCGGAUUUAUUGGGUUUAAAGGGUGCGUAGGCGGUUUAUUAAGUCAGUGGUGAAAGACGGUCGCUCAACGAUUGCAGUGCCAUUGAUACUGGUAGACUUGAGUGUGAUUGAGGUAGCUGGAAUGGAUAGUGUAGCGGUGAAAUGCAUAGAUAUUAUCCAGAACACCAAUUGCGAAGGCAGGUUACUAAGUCACAACUGACGCUGAUGCACGAAAGUGUGGGUAUCAAACAGGAUUAGAUACCCUGGUAGUCCACACUGUAAACGAUGAUAACUAACUG
rnacentral:rRNA from 1 species